rnacentral:tRNA from 1 species
GCAUCAGUGGCUUAAUGGUAUACCAGCUCGCCUUGUAACCAGCAUGUCCUGGGUUCAAAUCCCUGUUGGUGCG